AAAGUAUAUUGUGGCCCAGUGGUAGAGCACCUGCUUUUUGUGCAGAAGGCUCCGGGUUCAAUCCUCAGCAUCUUCA